rnacentral:rRNA from 1 species
AUGAGAGACCUUGUUUUUAUCAAGUUCAACUCCAAACUCAAACAAAAGAGAAAGAUGAAAAACAGGGACCCGAUUGUGGACCACACAUUUGUAGAUGUUGUAGAAGAUGAAGAUAAUGAGUGGAUCACAGGUAUUGUGCCUCAUGAACCUGAUGAAGUUGUAGAAGUUGCAGCAUCAACAUCACAAGGAGCAGUCGGUGCAUCAAAAAGAAAGAGAGCGUCCCAAUCUCGCCCUCGGAAGAAGAAAAAACUGCUCCCUGUUUUUCGUGAAGAUGAGUUGGAGUCAGCUAGUUCUUCUUCUGAAUCGGAAGAUGAUGCCAUGCAUUCACCAUCUGGUUCAUCAAAUGAGAGUGAUUCUGAAUAA